rnacentral:rRNA from 1 species
UACGCAGGGUGCGAGCGUUGUCCGGAAUUAUUGGGCGUAAAGGGCUCGUAGGCGGUUUGUCGCGUCGGGAGUGAAAACUCAGGGCUUAACCCUGAGCCUGCUUCCGAUACGGGCAGACUAGAGGUAUGCAGGGGAGAACGGAAUUCCUGGUGUAGCGGUGAAAUGCGCAGAUAUCAGGAGGAACACCGGUGGCGAAGGCGGUUCUCUGGGCAUUACCUGACGCUGAGGAGCGAAAGUGUGGGGAGCAAACAGG